CGCUUGGUGUCAAACUGCAGGGUGGCGGCGGCGCUUGCAAGUUAGGAUAGGGCAGGAUGGAGCUCGCGUCCACGCAAACAGGGAGGAAAAGAAGGCGGUGCGAUUCCCGAUCCCAUUUAUAGAACCAAAAUCCACGAAAGAUUUGAAGCGGAUCUCGGUGUUUUGGGUCGGAUCAGAGUCCUGCUCGCCCCCGACGCCAGGUAGGAGAUGAGGAUAUCGCUGAUAGGUGGGGACCGACUGGCAGUGGAAGAAAGAAAAGGGGAGGGAGUUUGGGCCGUGGUGAGAAGGAAAGGGGGAGGGGUUUUCCACUUGGGCCAGAGCAAGAAGAGAGGAUGGCGCGCUGGGCUAAGCUGCUGCUGGGCCUACGGAAAUGUGAGGGAGGGUUUAGGGCCUUCGGGCCAAAACAGAAGAAGGGGAGAUUUCCCUUUUUCUUUUCUUUUCUUUUCUUUUCUUUGUUUUUUUAAUUCUUUUCUUUUAUUCCAAAACCUCUUGCAAGACAAUCUGAAAACCAUUUUCAAAUUAGUUUAAAACGAUUUUGAACUUGGAUCAAUUUCACACAAUACAAUGAAAAUAAAUGCUCCAAAAUGAAUGCACAAGCAAGUGGCUAAGUUCUAUGAUAAGUUUUAUUUUAAUGAAAAAUAUUAUUUUCCUAUGUUUCAUGAGCACAAAAAUACAAAAUUAAAUUAAAUUCUCCUAUUUUAAAUACUUGCAAACUUUUGGGCGUUACAGAGCUCUGAUGACUCCUUCGAAGACUCCUCCAGAACCCAGGCGUAGCGCUGCUCUCCCUAACUAUCAACUAGAACUAAUCUACUACAUUGAAAUGUCUAGCCCUAAUUCUCUAGAGGUGAGAGGUCAUCCGUUCGAGGGACGCCUCUACAUCUCCAUAAUAAUAUGGUGCCCUCAAAUAUGAGGGUCUAUCUCUUUAUUUAUAGCCUAGAAAAGUCUCCCACCUCUUCUAGACAGGCGAUGUGGGACUAAUUCUUCCACAAUUUGCUCUGUUGGACUAUUAUACAUCAACUUGGAUCUUCCAAUCAUCCCUCAUGUGAGCCCACUCAAAGCAGCAGCUUGGGGCGCCUCUCUUGGGCCUCUAUCAUGCCAUAUGAGCCUCUUCUCACGUCAUGGGCUUUGCUUGGGCGUGGGACCCAUUAGUGGUAAUUCUCCUUUAUUUGUAAAAUUAAUAUCUUUUUACUCCAUACUUCAAAUAUAGCAAAUGAUAUGUCCGUUUUGAUCGUCUCGAUGAGCCCGUCGCAAUGGUGCAGUCCACUUCAUUUGAGAUACUUUUAUUGAAUGAUUAGUUUGCCUUUAGCUCUUUUUCUAUGUACCCCCUACAAAACAUAUAUGCACCAAAACUCAUGGAAUUUAUUAGUUCAAACCUCUAAACCUAUGUUGGUGAACAUUUCUUUGCAGUUAUAAAAGUUAUGUUAACAGUUAAAAAUAGGAGUUAACUACUGUCAACAGUGCUCACCUCGUGGGGAUCGUGAAGAGCAACUCUAGUAGAGCGAGACAUGAAGGAUGACAAGUGGUCCGGCCUGAUCAAGUGCUAGAGCUUGAGGUAAGGACUCCACGUGGGAGAGUGUGACUUUUGGGUCACCACUAGCAAGAGGACCGGCGACAACCUUGGAGCUUGUCUCAACCGGGACAUAGCUUGGUGGCAACCAAGUGAAUCUCAGGAGAAAAUCAUCGUGUCAACAUUGUUCUUCCCGUUGGUUUGCAAGUCCAUAACAUAAGCUUGUCUUUACAUUUAUAUACUUGUGCUUGUGUAGUUGCUCUGGUAAUUAGUUAGCUUGUGUAGCUUGCUAGUUAACUUCUUACUUGUGUAGCUAGAAGUAGUUCCCUUGGUGGCUAAUUUUGUUUGUGUAGCCUUGUUAGUUACAUUGCUUAGUUUGUGUAGCUAAGUAAGUUAUGCGAUCUAAUUUGGCAGUAAUUGACUUCUUAUGGAGUUUGCUAGUGAGCUUAGGAGCUAUGUGCUUUUGCUUACUAGUUGUGGCAUAGGUUUGUGUGACCUUACUCUUAGAUUUGGUUAGGUG
rnacentral:lncRNA from 1 species